UAGAGUUGUAAAACUCCCAAACCCAUGUGAACAUACCUCUGUUGCCUCGGCGGCCUGCCCGGCGGCUACCCUGUAGCAGCCCCGCGGUCCGCCGAAGGACUACAAAACUCUGUAUCUUUGCGUCGGAGUACUUGAUAAACUGAAUCA
rnacentral:misc_RNA from 1 species